ACCCAAAAAAGUAGGUAUGAGGGAAGCAUAUACUUCUAGUAGGAUACACUUAUUUACCCAAGUAGAUAUGAGGGAAGCAUAUACUUCUAGUAGGAUACACUUAUUUACCCAAGUAGGUAUGAGGGAAGCAUAUUAUUUACCCAAGUAGAUAUGAGGGAAGCAUAUACUUC